GAAACAGUUGUGAAAUCAACAGUGUUUUUUUCUACGAGUGCUUAAAAUUCGGGUUUCUAGUGAAAGAAGGUUUGGAGUUGUAUUUUGUUUGCUUUGAAAUAUUCAAAAUGAAUGAAAUAUCCUCAUCGAGUAGCGAAAGACUUCCUUCCGAAAGCAAAACCACCCGCACAGAAAGUGGUAUCGCCUGCGGGGCCACUGAACCAGAGAAUGAACUACUGGUGUGCGCCAGAGUGGCACGGGCCAGAUUUUGGUUUUCCGGAAAUUUACAGCGUUGAAGGUCCCACCAAGAAAACGAACGGACACACCUCAAGAUCGAUUGUGUGAUAAGCAACUUUCGGUUGUUGGAGGGAAUAUAAACAAUGUUAUAAACAUUA